UUCUUCCAAAAGCUAACAAAAGAAAUAAAAUAUAAAUAGAGAAAGAGAGGGUAGUGGUUGGCUAGUCCAAGAAGAAAGGAGAAGAGAAGUUUUCCACAUAGCUUUAACUCUCACUUUAGAAGAAGAACAUCCAAAGAAAAAGGUAUAAUAUUCAACUAUAUAUAAACUAGUUUAUUACUUUUAUUUCUUUUAUUUUGGAUGAAAUGAAGAUAUAAUAUUUUCCAAAUCCAAAAAACCUUAGAUCUACAUGUUAUUAAGUAUUUUAUGUUUAGAUCUAACCAUUUCGGGUGUUAGAAGUUGGAUCAAAAGGAAUAUAAGAAAAAUAGGUUUUCUAGUUUAGAAAACCCUAAUCUUUCUUCACUUUGAAAAUCCACCAUUUAAGAUAUACACUUUCUUUUUGUGAUCCUUCUAAGAGGGGUUCUAGAUAUGUAAGUUAAAUGUUAAACCCAAGUGGUAGCACUCAAAAUUGUUAAUUUUACAAGCCAUAGGAUCUGUUUUGGUGUAAACUGUCCAGCUAGAAUAAAAAAAGGGGGAAAAGUAGUUUUUGUCUAGCUGCUUCCAGGGGCAAUUUUGUUCGUUUAAGUUACUUUAAGAAUUAUGGAAAACUUUGGUAGGAUAUUAUGAUAAGUUUAUCUAGAUCCAGUCCAAAGAUGAAAAUAUUUGGAUGUGUAGAAUGAGAGUUAUGGAUUUUACAAGAAAUGAUUGUUUUAAAAGAAAACUGAAAUUACUUUUUGUGUAUAACUCUAAAAAUUGUUAAAUUUGUACUGGAGGUAGAGUAUCAUGGCAGGAGCAUACAAUGAAAAUUCUAGAAUUUUUGGACAAAGUUUCGAUUUAUGAAAAAUGCUGCAAGAUCCAGCUGUUUUUGUCAUUUUAAAAAGAGUAAAUGAAAUUCAAAAAAUCCAGAAAAAUUAUAUGUUUAUCAUGAUACCAUAUAAUGAUAUUUUUCAGAAAAUAAAUAUUUUUGGAGUUGAUUUGGUAUUUUUCAUGUAAAUAAUUGAGUUAUGAAUAAAUGAAUAAAAUAAGUAAUGUGAUGUUAUAAAAGGUAAAAAUAUAAUUUUUGACCAAAGACCCUUGAUAUUAGGUAAUCAGAUUUUUAGAGGGUAUUUUAGUCAUUUUUGAUAAAAUUUUAUAUUUAUAGCAUUUUAGAUUUAUUAAAUGAAUGAGUUAGUAAAGGGUAAACAAUUAGAAUUAAUUAUUUAUUAGUUUAAUAAAUGAUUAAAAUAUUAUUAAGAGCUUAAUAAUAUUAGUUUAAGAUACUAUUAAGUAAUUAAUAAUAUUUAGAUUAAAGCUGGAUAAAAAUAAUAUUAAAUGAUUAAUAACAUUAGAUUAAAGUUAAAUUAAAAUAUUAUUAAAUAAUUAAUAAUAUUAGAUAAUGAUUUAAAAUAUUAUUAAAUGAUUAAUAAUAUUAUAUUAGACUUAAAUUAAAAUAUUAUUAAAUAAUUAAUAAUAUUAUGUUAGAGUUAAAUUAAAAUAUUAUUAAAUAAUUAAUAAUAUUAGAUAAUAAUUUAAAAUGUUAUUAAAUAAUUAAUAAUAUUAAUAAGGGGUUUAAAUAUUUUUAAAUGGUUAAUAAUAUUAGAAAGUGAAUAAAAUAUUAUUAAAUAAUUAAUAAUAUUAGACAAGAGUUUAAGACAAUGAUUAUAUGAUAAUAAUAUUAUCAAGGGAUGAUAAUAUUCCUAAUGAGUAAGGUAUUAUUGAAUGUUUGAUUACAUGAUUACAUGUUAGAUAAUUUAUUAUAAGAAUAGUGGUGGUAUGAGUUAUAAUAUGUUAUGCUAAUUGAUAGAUCAAUAUUAUUAAUGAUAGGUCUUUCAAACGAAGUUAAAUAAAUUGUGUAGCAGUAGUCAACGACCAAGACAAGUUUCCUAUCUCAACUUGGGUUAUUAAUUUCAAAGCAUGAUUAGUUGAUAAUUAUUGUUGGUUAUUCACAUCUAUAAUGAUUAUUGCUAUUCGCACAUAGUGCAUUUAAUUUCAUGUUCUAUUAUUUGAACUGUGAAAUAAAUUUAAAGUUCUUUUAUUCAUGAACUGUUUAUGAGCCAUGUCUCAGUUAUUCGUUUCGGCUAGACUAAUAAUUGAUGAAUCGUUCUAUUAUUUGAACUAAGUUGUUAUUGAAAGAUUUAUGCCAUUUAUUUUGGCUAGAUCAAUAUUGAUAGUAUAUGUUGAAAUCAUAACAUUUCUUUAAAAGCAAUCCAAACCAUAUUGUUGUGGUACGGACUCAUGAUGUAAGACUGAGAUGAACAACCCUUAUAAAAAAGGGAAACUUUAUUGUCGGACAUCUGACCCUUACGAUAUUUUUUAGUAUUAUGCAUAAUAUAGGGUACAAUGGGGCUGAUCAUCUCAUGUACUCGCAGAAGAGUAUAAUUAGUUUUUAUAACUAACUUAUAUUCUUGAGGUAAUUCAGUUUUAUUAACUAAUGAUUCCUCUAGGCUCUAGUAUUUCUUGAUUCAUCUGUGAUCACUCAGCAUGAAAUAAGGGAGUAUCCCACUUUAUUAAAUAAUGUCGCAGUAUUGCUAAAUUUUCUUAAUUAAUUAGAUAUUAUUAAACCAUAGAAAGAAUUGUAAUCUUUCAUUUUUGAUAUGUUAUUCAGCUUGGAAUUCAAGAAAAUUCUUGUUAUUAAAAAGUGAUAUAUUGUUCAGCUAUUUCAAUCUUUUGAUUAUUGUUGAAGUUCUAUAAAUUUAGACUCUCUGUUCCUGAUCCUUUAUUGUAUACUUUAACUUGCUAACCUUUGCUUAAAUAAAACAUUUCAGCUAUAGCCGAGGUAGUCGAAGGUUCUAAGAAGGAUAAAGGCAAAACGAAGGCAACCGAGUAGAAUCAAUUGUGUAAUGAUCUUAUUAUAUUAUAUUUUGGUUUAAGCCUUUUGUAUAAUAGGGCAUGUAAUGUUAAGGUUAGUUAACCUGGGUUGAUGUUACAAUCAUGUAUUUAAAGUAUGUUUUUAUUAAGGAAAUGUAAUGAAUGAUGUAAUUUAUAACGAAUGGGUAGUUAGAUGUGAUAUGUAUGAUGUAUCGUGAGCACCGAAUUCGAGGUUUGAGAAACCCGGAUUUGGGGGCGUCAUAGAUUGCAUCUCCCGAAUUUAUCUAGUGUAACAUAGUACACUACAAGAAAUUAGGGAUGUAGUGAAGGAAAUUUUGUCUCACAUGAGGAGCUUUCUAGCGAAGGAAUAGUGAAGGAAAAAAAAAUGUAGUGACAAUAUAGUUAUUAGCGAAA
rnacentral:lncRNA from 1 species